rnacentral:rRNA from 1 species
AGGGCAACAGGUGAAUGCCUUGGCGCUGAGAGGCGAUGAAAGACGCGGUAAGCUGCGAUAAGCAUCGGGGAGGAGCUAAACAUCCUACGAUCCGAUGAUUUCUGAAUGGGGAAACCCGAUGGGAGUCAUGUCCCAUCAUCCUGAGCUGAAUAUAUAGGCCCAGAGAAGCCAACCCGGGGAAGUGAAACAUCUCAGUACCCGGAGGAAGAGAAAUCAAACGAGACUCCCAAAGUAGCGGCGAGCGAAAUGGGAAGAGCCCAAACCGGGUGGUUUCGACCAUUCGGGGUUGUAGGGCCGGCAUACGCGAUUCUGGAGUAGGCAGAGGAAGUGAGCUGGAAAGCUCCGCCACAGCGGGUGAUAGCCCCGUACUCGAAACCGAAAAGGACGCAGCCGGUACCUGAGUACUGCGAGGCACGUGGAACCUCGUGGGAAUCUAGGGGGACCAUCCUCUAAGGCUAAGUACUCCUCAGCGACCGAUAGUGAACUAGUACCGUGAGGGAAAGGUGAAAAGAACCCCUGUUAGGGGAGUGAAAUAGAAUCUGAAACCUGUUGCCUACAAGCUGCGAGAGCUACUUCGGUAGUGAUCGCGUGCCUUUUGUAUAAUGAGUCAGCGAGUUACUCUACCGUGCGAGGUUAAGCGAAAGCGUAGCCGUAGUGAAAGCGAGGCUUAAUAGGCCGACUAGUACGUUGGAGUAGACCCGAAACCGGGUGAUCUAUCCAUGAGCAGGUUGAAGCAAGGGUAAAGCCUUGUGGAGGACCGAACCGUCAACGGCUGAAAACGUUCCGGAUGACUUGUGGAUAGGGGUGAAAGGUCAAUCAAACCCGGUGAUAGCUGGUUCUCCCCGAAAUAUAUUGAGGUAUAGCCUCGGGAAUUGAUUAGCGGAGGUAAAGCACUGACAGAGCUAGGGGUCCUACCAGAUUACCAAACUCUAUCAAACUCAGAAUGCCGCUUAAUUGUAUCCCGGGAGUCAGACGGCGGGUGCGAAGGUUCGUCGUCAAAAGGGAAACAGCCCAGACCAACAGCUAAGGUCUCCAAAUCCAUGCUCAGUGGUGAAGGUAGUGGAACCGUUUAGACAGCCAGGACGUUGGCUUAGAAGCAGCCAUCGUUUAAAGAAAGCGUAAUAGCUCACUGGUCUAAUGGCUCUGCGCCGAAAAUGUAACGGGGCUAAGCAUGGUACCGAAGCUUUGGCAAUCUCCUUUGGAGAUUGGGUAGGGGAGCGUUCGCUGCGGGCUGAAGGUGUGCCGGAAGGCAUGCUGGACUGCAGUGAAGUGAUUAUGCUGACAUGAGUAACGAUAAAAUAUGUGAAAAACAUAUUCGCCGAAAACCCGAGGUUUCCUGGGUAAAGGUAAUCUUCCCAGGGUUAGUCGGAUCCUAAGGUGAGGGUGAAAGCCGUAACCGAUGGAAAACAGGUUAAUAUUCCUGUACUUGUUGUGUAGCGCGAUGGAGGGACGCAGGAAGAUAGGCGGGCCGGGUGUUGGAUAUCCCGGUGCAAGCGUGUAGGAAUAUCCGGUAGGCAAAUCCGCCGGACGAAUCUGAGACGCGAGUCCGUGGGCGCAAGCCCUGAAGCCGUUGAGUCUAUGCUGCCUAGAAAAGCUCCUAAGUUUAUCCACAGCAAUCCGUACCGCAAACCAACUCAGGUGGGUGGGAUGAACAAUCCAAGGCGCUCGAGAGAACUCUGGCCAAGGAACUCGGCAAAAUAACCCCGUAACUUCGGAAGAAGGGGUGCUCUCUAGGGUGACAUGUUUAACAUAUGAAGCCCCGGGGAGCCGCAGUGAAUUGGUGGUGGCGACUGUUUACUAAAAACAUAGGUCUGUGCGAAGUCCUAAAGACGACGUAUACGGACUGACGCCUGCCCGGUGCUGGAAGGUUAAAAGGAGGGGUCAGCGCAAGCAAAGCUCCGAAUUGAAGCCCCAGUAAACGGCGGCCGUAACUAUAACGGUCCUAAGGUAGCGAAAUUCCUUGUCGGGUAAGUUCCGACCUGCACGAAUGGCGUAACGAUCUCCACACUGUCUCGGCCAGAGACUCGGUGAAAUUGCAGUCGCGGUGAAAAUUCCGUGUACCCGCAGAAAGACGGAAAGACCCUGUGCACCUUUACUAUAGCUUGACAUUGGAUUUUGGGCCUGCAUGUGUAGGAUAGGUGGGAGGCUGUGAACCCUGUACGCCAGUAUGGGGGGAGCCAUCCUUGAAAUACCACCCUUGCAUGUUUAAGAUCCUAACUUCUUCCGGUUAUCCCGGAGAAAGACAGUGUCUGGCGGGUAGUUUGACUGGGGCGGUCGCCUC